GGCGAGAGACCGAUAGCGAACAAGUACCGUGAGGGAAAGAUGAAAAGAACUUUGAAAAGAGAGUCAAACAGUACGUGAAAUUGUUGAAAGGGAAACGAUUGAAGCCAGUCGUACCGACGGGAAUUCAACUUCUUGAGCGCUUGUCGUGGGUGAUGUAGAGCUUCACGGCCUUCGUUGCUUUGCGUUAUGGUGCUUUUGGGGUGUACUUUUCCGUAUGGUAGGUCAAUAUCGAUUUUGGUCGUCAUAAAA
rnacentral:rRNA from 1 species